ensembl:snRNA U2 U2 spliceosomal RNA
AUCACUUCUCAGCCUUUUGGCUAAGAUCAAGUGUAGCAUAAGAUAAAAUGCACAAAUUUUAGGUAUUUAUUUUGAUAAGUUUUGACAAAUAUAUACACCCAGGUAGGCUUUAUCCCCAUCAAGAUAUACAACAUUUCUUCCACCCCAGGUUCUUGUGUUUAAGAUAU